UACGUAGGGCGCGAGCGUUGUCCGGAUUUAUUGGGCGUAAAGAGCUCGUAGGCGGCUUGUCGCGUCGUCCGUGAAAACUCACAGCUCAACUGUGAGCUUGCGGUCGAUACGGGCAGGCUAGAGUUCGGUAGGGGAGACUGGAAUUCCUGGUGUAGCGGUGAAAUGCGCAGAUAUCAGGAGGAACACCGGUGGCGAAGGCGGGUCUCUGGGCCGAUACUGACGCUGAGGAGCGAAAGCGUGGGGAGCGAACAGG
rnacentral:rRNA from 1 species